rnacentral:rRNA from 1 species
UACGUAGGGAGCUAGCGUUGUUCGGAAUUACUGGGCGUAAAGCGCGCGUAGGCGGCUUUGUAAGUUAGAGGUGAAAGCCCGGAGCUCAACUCCGGAACUGCCUUUAAGACUGCAUCGCUUGAAUCCAGGAGAGGUGAGUGGAAUUCCGAGUGUAGAGGUGAAAUUCGUAGAUAUCGUAAGGAAGACCAGUGGCGAAGGCGGAUCUCUGGACAGUUACUGACACUGAGGCACGAAGGCCAGGGAGCAAACGGGAGUU